rnacentral:rRNA from 1 species
AUGUCUAAUCUGAAGUCAAAGGGAGGAUUGGAAUUUCACAACCUUAAGCUAUUUAAUGAUGCCAUGUUGGCUAAACAAGCAUGGAGGUUGUUGGAAAACCCAGGGAGUCUAUGUGCUAGGGUUUUGAAGGGUCGGUACUAUCCAGAAGGAAAUUUCUUACAAGCUGGAUGUCCGGCUAAUUCUUCUAGAACAUGGCGUGCGAUUCUGCAAGGAAGAGAGUGUAACGCCUCGGAUUCGAUGCGCCAGGUGUCUUCCAGUUAUUCGCCAUUGUUGCCAUGUCAUUUGCUUGCGUGUUGCAUUUUGCCAUGUCAUCAUCCAUAUUUCAUCUGCAUGUUUUUCAAAACUUGCAUCCGGUCUUUUUCCCCGUUGUCCGUUUCGCGAUCCGACACUCUCGCAGUGCCCUAUCGCUCCCUCUCAGACCUUGUUUCGUGA